rnacentral:rRNA from 1 species
UACGAAGGGGGCGAGCGUUGUUCGGAUUUACUGGGCGUAAAGGGCGCGCAGGCGGCUUUGUUUGUCAGGCGUGAAAGCCCCGGGCUUAACCUGGGAACUGCGUUUGAUACGGCAGGGCUAGAGUUCGGGAGAGGAGAGUGGAAUUCCCAGUGUAGAGGUGAAAUUCGUAGAUAUUGGGAAGAACACCGAUGGCGAAGGCAGCCAUCUGGACCGACACUGACGCUGAGGCGCGAAAGCGUGGGGAGCAAACAGG